rnacentral:antisense_RNA from 1 species
GGGGAACACCCAGGGCAGCUCCCGUAGGCGGCAGAAGGGAAGAGGGGAAGGCUUCUACUGAGGUGAGACAGAGUGACCCACCCCUCCCACACCAUCAGCCUCCCUCCCCUCUCCACCCUUCUGUGCUGGGACCCCAGAGCCCAUAGACAGCUGGGGGAGCGGGGAGACAGGAGGAACUCAAGCUCAGCUUCUGCUUCCUGUCUCCUGGGACCCUCGGGCAGCCCCCUCCAGCUUCCUGGGAGUCCAAUUUCCCAAGGUAGAACGGUGGCGGCAGAGCCUGGCCCUGUAGUGGGGCAGCUGCACCCAGGUGAGUGGCUUGCAGUUCCUGGAGCCCUGCAGGUUGUUGGAGAGGCAGGGAGCCCUUCUCCCUCCCACCUGCCCUCUUGCACUUCCUCUCCCAGAACCCAGCGCUACUCCCAGAGGCCCUGAGCUGAAGCCCUAGAAGGUAACCAUCUCCUGGCUGGACACAGAGAGGGCAAGUUGGGGCCAGGCGUGAGGACAGGUGCCCCAGGAGCCACCUGCUCCACUUAUCCACGAAGGCCUUAACUGGCUCAGGGGCCCAGAGCUCCCAUUCAAGCCCCAGCCUCCUGACCUUGUCCUGCCCUGGUGCUGCCAGUCGGGUGGAGGUGUCUCAGGGCCAGCUGGUCUCCUGGCAACUGAAGCCCGCGCUUCCCUUCCAUUCACUCAUUCCUUCCUUUCCUCACGCAGGAGGCGCUGCAAGGCUCAGUGCUCCUGGAGCCUUGAGUCUACGGUAUGAGUUAAACAGAAGGGUAUCUCCUCCAUCAGAUCUACAGGAGGGUGUCUCCUCCAUCAGACCUGAAGCUUCCAAGGCAUUUUACCCAAAGCUCCAGCACCUGUCCCAAGGCUGGGCUGUGCUGUGUCCUCAGUGAAAGAAUGGAUGAGUCACAAGUGAAUGACUGAAGAGCUGAACCAAUGGGAAAACUGAUGCUCAGAGGCUUGAGCAACCGAGGCAAGGACCCGUCCUUAGAGGCAGAAGCAGAACUCAGAGGAAGAGCACCCUGACCACAAAGCCCCAGGGUCCAGAAAGACUCAUCCACUGGAGUCUGUAUUUCCUGAGUCCGCUUCUCACUGGUAAGUCCUGAGCCCCGUUCCUUCCCAGCACCCACUCUUGGAGCAGCUAUCCAGAGCUGUGCUGUGGCUGCUGCGGUCAGGGAGAGGUCACAUGCUCCAGCCAGGGGCUUUGGGGGCUCAGUUUAGAACUAACACUCCAAGCAAGUCGUGCUGAGUGUCUGGGCUUCUUCUAGGAAGGUGUUUCCAAUCAUCAAAUGUGCCAUUAAAAAAAAAAGCAUGUCAGUUAAGUGUGCACUAAGCCUGGACCACAUGGGACAUAGUUGUUCUAAUAAACACGAAUAAGCCAGUUUUCACAUUAGAGAAAUAACAGUUUCUUGUAGAAAUGUGGUGCUUUUAAAAGAGGUCAAUUAAUAAACAGCAGGUAAUUGUUCAUGGCACAUUGUGGCAGAGGGUAAUUUUCAUUUUAGAGGAUGGAAGGGCCAAAUACCCCUCCCCACUCAGCAUUUUUCUGUAAUAAUCACCUCAGCUUCACCUCCGCCUUUCAUUUUUACAGCUGGAGCUGUUUAUCAUUGACCAACUUUCACUAAAAAGGAAAAACUAUCACUUAAACAAAGCCAUUGAAACCCCAACAUCAUAUGUGGAUUUUUUAACAUAAAUAAAUCAUACAAACUAA